AUACGUAGGGUGCAAGCGUUAAUCGGAAUUACUGGGCGUAAAGCGCGCGUAGGUGGUUCGUUAAGUUGGAUGUGAAAGCCCCGGGCUCAACCUGGGAACUGCAUCCAAAACUGGCGAGCUAGAGUAUGGCAGCGGGUGGUGGAAUUUCCUGUGUAGCGGUGAAAUGCGUAGAUAUAGGAAGGAACACCAGUGGCGAAGGCGACCACCUGGGCUAAUCCUGACACGGGGGUGCGAAGGCGGGGGGAGCAAACAGGAUUAGAUCCCCUGGUAGUCCACGCCGUAACCGAUGUCGACUAGCCGUUGGGAUCCUUGAGAUCUUAGUGGCGCAGCUAACGCAUUAAGUCGACCGCCUGGGGAGUACGGCCGCAAGGUUAAAACUCAAAUGAAUUGACGGGG
rnacentral:rRNA from 1 species